GUGAAUCAUCGAAUCUUUGAACGCAAAUUGCACUCUCUGGUAUUCCGGAGAGCAUGCCUGUCUGAGGGUCAGUUAAAUAAAAAUCGGUGACGUUGCUGCUUUUUGGGGUGACGCACCGGCUUUGGGUCGUCGUGCCUUCGGUUAAGUGAUCUGAAAUUCUGCAUGAUUUUCUCGGAGGUAUUUAAAUGAUUUUACGUACGGUUGCGAGAUCGG
rnacentral:misc_RNA from 1 species